AUGCUCACUUCGGUUGCACACGUUCUAAAAUUGGAAAAACACAGAGAAGAUUAGCAUGGUCCCCGUCCAAAGAUGACAUGUAAAUUUGUGACACAUUUCCUAUUUUU
ensembl:snRNA U6 U6 spliceosomal RNA